rnacentral:rRNA from 1 species
AACGUACGCUGGCGGCACGCUUAACACAUGCAAGUCGAACGAAGUAGCAAUACUUAGUGGCAGACGGGUGAGUAACAUGUGGGUAUCUGCCCUUUGGCCUGGAAUAACACGAGGAAACUUGUGCUAAUACCGGAUAAGUCUUUACGGAGAAAGCUUUAUGCACCAUUGGAUGAGCCCGCACUUGAUUAGUUUGUUGGUGGGGUAAUGGCCUACCAAGACUAUGAUCAAUAGCUGAUUUGAGAGGAUGAUCAGCCACAUUGGGACUGAGACACGGCCCAAACUCCUACGGGAGGCAGCAGUGGGGAAUCUUGCACAAUGGAGGAAACUCUGAUGCAGCGAUGCCGCGUGAGUGAAGAAGGCCCUUGGGUUGUAAAGCUCUUUCGUCGGGGAAGAAAAUGACUGUACCCGAAUAAGAAGGUCCGGCUAACUUCGUGCCAGCAGCCGCGGUAAUACGAAGGGACCUAGCGUAGUUCGGAAUUACUGGGCUUAAAGAGUUCGUAGGUGGUUGAAAAAGUUAGUGGUGAAAUCCCAGAGCUUAACUCUGGAACUGCCAUUAAAACUUUUCAGCUAGAGUAUGAUAGAGGAAAGCAGAAUUUCUAGUGUAGAGGUGAAAUUCGUAGAUAUUAGAAAGAAUACCAAUUGCGAAGGCAGCUUUCUGGAUCAUUACUGACACUGAGGAACGAAAGCAUGGGUAGCGAAGAGGAUUAGAUACCCUCGUAGUCCAUGCCGUAAACGAUGUGUGUUAGACGUUGGAAAUUUAUUUUCAGUGUCGCAGCGAAAGCGAUAAACACACCGCCUGGGGAGUACGACCGCAAGGUUAAAACUCAAAUGAAUUGACGGGGACCCGCACAAGUAGUGGAGCAUGUGGUUUAAUUCGAAGAUACGCGCAGAACCUUACCAACACUUGACAUGUUCGUCGCGACUCUAAGAGAUUAGAGUUUUCGGUUCGGCCGGACGAAACACAGAUGCUGCAUGGCUGUCGUCAGCUCGUGUCGUGAGAUGUUGGGUUAAGUCCCGCAACGAGCGCAACCCUCACUUUUAGUUGCCAUCAUUAAGUUGGGCACUCUGAAAGAACUGCCAGUGAUAAGCUGGAGGAAGGUGGGGAUGACGUCAAGUCCUCAUGGCCCUUACGUGUUGGGCUACACACGUGCUACAAUGGUAUCUACAACAGGAAGCAAGACUGCGAGGUCAAGCAAAUCCUUAAAAGAUACCUCAGUUCGGAUUGCACUCUGCAACUCGAGUGCAUGAAGCUGGAAUUACUAGUAAUCGUGGAUCAGCGUGCCACGGUGAAUGCGUUCCCGGGUCU